AACCUUAAUCGCCCUAAUCUUUAUUCGCUUUUCAUUUGAUUGUGUGAAAUAUGCUUCUAUCAAUAAUGUAUUAAGCGGUAUCGAUUACAGUUGCUUAGUUUAUUUUGGUGUAAAUGAUUUUUUCGUUGACAUGGAUUUCGUGCUCCAACAGGAGGGUUCAUCUUGGCAACUUGACUAUCUACUAUGAAUUUUAUAGAUUCUUAGUUUAUUUGAGGCCGAAUAAUUAAGGUUGUGUUAGAUUUCUUGAAUUUUAAAAACGAAUUUAGACGAUGAUUGCAGAUUUUUCGUAUUAGUGUGACCACUCCGCGAAAAAUGUUUAUUACUUUGGUAUUCUGUAGAUUAGGUUUUAACGACUUGUUUUGUUUUUUCUUCAAUAUAGACAGGACUUGGAGAUAACAUUGCUGGAUUGGAUGACCAUAUUAUUGACGGAUCUAGUUUUUGUGGCAUUUUUUCAUGCAUUUUCUACUUAACCUUAGAGAGGUGGCAUUUGUAUGAAGGGUCGUCAUUUAAGCAUGUAAAGUGAACGUCGAUAUGACAAAUAACGACUCGACAACUGGAGAAGUGCGGUGCCGUUAACGUCGUCUCUUCUAGGCUUCGUAUUUUCUGUAGAAAAGGUUAUCAUUUAAACUUAUUAAAUGAACAAGGAGACAAAGAAUAAGGACUCAAAAUGUGGAGAAGGGGAGCUCUGUUAAUGUUGCGUCUUCUUAGACUUGAAAAGUGCAAUUUUUAGAGAACAAAUGAAGUCCAAUUCACAUUGAUGUAUUUAGGAAUAAAACUUGAGCACCGUACAAUUAACCUCGACAUCGUCCAAAUGGUGAGAAAGGAAGAAUUAAAGUUCAGAUUGAUGGCAUUGAAACAGCCAAUGUCUUGUCUUGAUUUGCUGUUUUCGUCUUCAACUUGCAACAUUAUGCAGUUAAUUUUCAACAGAUGAGUGAGAGCCAGAGGAGAUUUAUAUGAAUUUCACUGAAACAAGUUUCUGCUAUGAUAUUCCUUCUGGAUUUAGUUUGCUUUUCACACAUGCAAACUUGGGAAGUUUACAGUAGUCUACUGUUUGCUAAGGUGAGAGUAUUUAAUAUAAUUACUAUUAAUUGCUCUUUAUUAAUCUGUUAC